rnacentral:pre_miRNA from 1 species
CAUGCAUUGUGGGGUCCCUCAGCCUGGCUUGCACCCUAUUGUAAUCCAGGACCCCUUGGGGGAUGUUGGAGAGCUGGUUUUGGCUUGAUCCUGCAGGCCAGGCUGAGGGACCCCACGGGUGCACG